GGGGGCGAAUUGGGUUCGACCGGGCAGUUGAACGGUGAGUGGCGUGUCGUGGUUGGUCAGCAGGCCACGUUAAAAGCCGACCAAAAAACAAUUGCCGAGGAUAACCUCGUCCUAGCUGCCUAGAAACAGGUAGCUCCGGCUGAGGGCUUUUGCCGAAGAGGCCCGACUGCUGGUCACCAAUUUCGGAUCGUUCCGGGUCACCGCCGAGCACGCCCGGGAUUAAACCCUGUUCCCGGCUAGUCCCUGCAGCAGCCCGUCGAAUGGCGGCCGCGGACGGCGAAAUCCAAACAUUCGACUACACACGUAGAAGCUCACCCGGAUACGUCGCGGGACGCGGGUUCGAUUCCCGCCGCCUCCACUA
rnacentral:tmRNA from 1 species